AAAAUGGCGGGAAUUAGCGUGGGUCCCGCGCGAGACGUUCCCGCGUAAGAUAUGAUUUCAUAUUUCACUAUAGUGAAAUACGGAAAAUAUCAGUGGCGUAUUUUACGGUAUUUUACUCAUAUCCAUAUAAUAAAGUAAAGUAUUUAGAAUUUCGCGUCGAAAAUUUGAUACAUUUUACACUGAAAUCGAAUUGAAAACAACUAAAAAUUCUGUGGGAAAUAUGUACGAAAGCUUCGGUUGGAUAGGGAUAUAGCUACCUCAAAAAUACAAGGAGAAUUUCGACGUUUCGAGCGAAGGCGCUUCGAUCUGUACUGUUAGUGUUUGUAUAUUUGUAUACAUCGUACUUGACCUUUGCUGAUAAAUAUAAUCUCCUCAAUAAUAAGUAUUAUAUAUUUUUAUGCUUUAACGUAGUGUUAG
rnacentral:lncRNA from 1 species